rfam:Tupaia chinensis contig196918, whole genome shotgun sequence.
GCUCGCUUCGGCAGCACAUAUACUAAAAUUGGAACGAUACAGAGAAGAUUAGCAUGGCCCCUGUGCAAGGAUGACACGCGAAAAGAUGCAGAGGCUGGCUUU